GGCACGGUACGCAAACGGCAUAGCGGCCAAGCUCAAACCUUGGUGCCUGUGGGUUCGACUCCCACCCGUGCUA
rnacentral:tRNA from 1 species